rnacentral:rRNA from 1 species
CAGUUCGGACUGCAGUCUGCAACCCGACUGCACGAAGCUGGAAUCGCUAGUAAUCGCGGAUCAGCAUGCCGCGGUGAAUACGUUCCCGGGUCUUGUACACACCGCCCGUCACACCAUGGGAGCCGGAAAUGCCCGAAGCCUGUGACCCAACCCGCAAGGGGGGAGCAGUCGAAGGCGGGGCUGGUGACUGGGGUGAAGUCGUAACAAGGUAUC